UACAGAGGUGGCAAGCGUUGUCCGGAUUUACUGGGCGUAAAGGGCGUGCAGGCGGUUUGUUAAGUGCAGAGUGAAAGCUCCCGGCUCAACUGGGAGAGGUCUUUGCAUACUGGCAAACUCGAGGGAGGCAGAGGAAAGUGGAAUUCCCGGUGUAGUGGUGAUAUGCGUAGAUAUCGGGAGGAACACCUGUGGCGAAGGCGGCUUUCUGGGCCUUACCUGACGCUGAGACGCGAAAGCGUGGGGAGCGAACCGG
rnacentral:rRNA from 1 species